CUGAGUUAGGGUCUCUUUAUGAGCCCGAACCUCCAACCCUUUGUUAAAAACACUUUGUUGCUUUGGCAGGCCCGUCUUCGGACCGCCGGGGGCGUUCAGUCACCUCUGGCCAGUGCUUGCCGAUAGCCUAUCAAAAAAUUCUUUAUUAAAUAAUGUCUGAAAAAUUAUAAUUAAAUAUAAUUA
rnacentral:misc_RNA from 1 species